rnacentral:piRNA from 1 species
UCAAGGUAAAGGGAUGUCUGUGCAGCC